rnacentral:rRNA from 1 species
UACGUAGGGUGCGAGCGUUUGUCCGGAAUUAUUGGGCGUAAAGGGCUCGUAGGCGGUUUGUCGCGUCGGGAGUGAAAUCCACUGGCUUAACUGGUGGCUUGCUUUCGAUACGGGCAGACUGGAGGUAUGCAGGGGAGAACGGAAUUCCUGGUGUAGCGGUGAAAUGCGCAGAUAUCAGGAGGAACACCGGUGGCGAAGGCGGCUCACUGGCUCGUAACUGACGCUCAUGCACGACAGCGUGGGGAUCAAACAGG